UUCUUGGAGAGUUUGAUCCUGGCUCAGGACGAACGCUGGCGGCGUGCCUAAUACAUGCAAGUCGAGCGGAUCUUUGGGAGCUUGCUCCCAUUGGUUAGCGGCGGACGGGUGAGUAACACGUGGGCAACCUGCCUGUAAGACUGGGAUAACACCGGGAAACCGGU
rnacentral:rRNA from 1 species